rnacentral:lncRNA from 8 species
GGAGAGAGUAGUGAGUGGUGUGGGAGUGAAGUGAUGAAGAUAUAGUGUGGUGGGAGGUACAGGUCAUUGUGAUGAUGAUGAUGAUGCUUAUUAUCUCUUCCUCAGUCAUAUCUCUAAGACGACCAGCUGGCUGGACCCCAGAGCUCAGAGCAGGGAGAUACUCAGCAAAACAGAGUUGCCUGCGUUCACGGACCAGCCGGCAGAGCUGAAGGGCUAUUCCAUCCACACCCGUCUGUCUAAAGGGCCGCGAGGGUUCGGCUUCAACAUAGUGGGAGGAAGCAAACAGAGAGAGUUCCUCCAGGUCUACAGCGUUACACCUGGGGGACCACCAGCUCUCAGCACAGCUGAUAUCCUGGUCUACAUCAAUGACAGCUGUGUCCUGGGUCUGUCUCAUAAAGAGGUGGUAGAGAUGUUGAAGUCUGUCCCUAUGGGUCACAGUGUGGACGUUGUGUUACGGAGAGGCUAUCCCAUGCUCUACAACCCAGACGGCUGUCCCAAACAACCCCUGACCCCCCCCUCCGCCUCCUCCUCCUCUCCUCUUGAACCCCUCAGCGCUGCAGCCACCCCUCCCUCAACAGCCACCGCUCAGCCCCUCUCCACCCCCGGUCCCGGUCCUGGCCCUGCUGAGCCCCCCCAACCUACCGGCCUGGCUAACCUGAAUCGUACGUCUCAUCACAACGGAAACUAUCUCAGAGUGUCGGGAAUCUCAGGGUCGGGGCUGGACGCUAACGGGAACGCAGCAGACCUGGUGUCGGCGCCCCCCUCCUACCCGCUGUCUAACGGAAUCCUUAGCUCUUCCGCCAGCUCAGCUUGUGCCCCCUCUUCUCACAGUAGGGGCAUCCCCCCUCCUCCCCCGCCUGAACGAACCUCCACCAGCCAGAGUGACUCAGAGGAAGGAGCCUCGGGUGGAGCGACACAGAGAUGGUCUCUAAUGCGCUACAACGGAAACUCCCUCCCCACCCCCUCCUCCAUCCUCCACCACCAGAGUGACUUCUCCACCUCCACCCUGCCCAUCUCCGUCUCCAAACUGCCCCUGUCCCAGCCGGACGUGUGCACCGCCACCACCCCUGGAGCCCCCUGCCAACGACCCACCAUGCCCCAGACCUCCCUCAUGCUCCCCUCGCCCAUGGAGGUCCCCCCUUGUGGCUUCAAUGGCUGCCCAGCCAACGCCCACCCUCAUGGGGGCCACAGCGCGGCCAGUGAGGGAGUACCUGGUGGGGAUGGAGGAGGGGAGCUGGUCCCUGUGCCCCUGGGGAGGAGUGAGGGGGGUGGGAUGGGGUUCAGUGUGACAGCGGGGGGGAAAGGGGGGCAGCUGGCCCUGGUGAAGAGGGUCUGGGACAGAAGGCAGUGCUCUUCCCUGCAGCCAGGGGAUGCUAUAGUCAAGAUCAACGGCGCCGACGUGCAGAGUCUCAGCUUCGCUCAGGUACGACCGGCUUUGGAGACAGUUCCACAGCUAGAGGCUAAGAUAAUGUUGAUUGGUAUUUAUUGCAACAAUGCUCAAUAGUAAUCAUCAGUUCUCAUCACUCUCUGCAGUAUAAACAUUCUGACAAUGUUGAGUAAGGUUAUUGACACAGAGAAUACUUGAAGACAAAUAUACAGUACCAGUCAAAAGUUUGGACACACCUACUCAUUCAACGGUUUUUCUUUAUUUUUACUACUUUCUACAUUGUAGAAUAGUAGUGAAGACAUCAAAACUAUGAAAUAACACAUAUGGAUUCAUGUAGUAACCAAAAAAGUGUUAAACAAAUCAAAACAUAUUUUAUAUUUGAGAUUCUUCAAAUAGCCACCCUUUGCCUUGAUGACAGCUUUGCACACUCUUGGUAUUCUCUAAACCAGCUUCAUGAAGAAAGCUUUUCCAACCGUCUUGAAAGAGUUCCCACAUAUGCUGAGCACUUGUUGGCUGCUUUUUCUUCACUCUGCGAUCCAACUCAUCCCAAACCAUCUCAGUUGGGUUGAGGUCGGGUGAUUGUGGAGGCCAGGUCAUCUGAUGCAGCACUCCAUCACUUUUCUUCUGGUCAAAUAGCCCUUACACAGCCUGGAGGUGUGUUGGGUCAUUGUUCUGUUGAAAAACAAAUGAUAGUUCCACUAAGCGCAAACUAGAUGGGAUGGCGAAUCGCUGCAGAAUGCUGUGGUAGCCAUGCUGGUUAAGUGUGCCUUGAAUUCUAAAUAAAUCACUGACAGUGUCACCAGCAAAGCACCCCCACACCAUCACACCUCCUCCUCCGUGCUUCACGGUGGGAACCAGACAUGCAGAGAUCAUCCGUUCACCUACUCUGCGUCUCACAAUGACAAGGCGGUUGGAACCAAAAAUCUCAAAUUUGGACUCAUCAGACCAAAGGACAGAUUUCCACCAGUCUAAUGUCAUUUCUCGUGUUUCUUGGCCCAAGCAAGUCUCUUCUUAUUAUUGGUGUCCUUUAGUUGUGUUUUUUUUGUUGCAGAAAUUUGACCAUCAAGGCCUGGUUCACGCAGUCUCCUCUGAACAGUUGAUGUUGAGAUGUGUCUGCUACUUGAACUCUGUGAAGCAUUUAUUUGGGCUUCAAUCUGAGGUGCAGUUAACUCUAAUGAACUUAUCCUCUGCAGCAGAAGUAACUCUGUCUUCCUUUCCUGUGGCGGUCCUCAUGAGAGCCAGUUCAAUCAUAGCGCUUGAUGGUUUUUGCGACUGCCCUUGAAGAAACUUUCAAAGUUCUUGAAAUGUUCCGCAUUGACUGACCUUCAUGUCUUAAAUUAAUGAUGGACUGUUGUUUCUCUUUGCUUAUUUGAGCUGUUCUUGCCAUAGUAUGGACUUGGUCUUUUACCAAAUAGGGCUAUCUUCUGUAUACCACCCCUACUGCCAACACAACUGAUUGGCUCAAACGCAUUAAGAAGGAAAUAAAUUCCACAAAUUAACUUUUAACAAGGCACACCUGUUAAUUACA